CUAAUUUCCUCCCUGAAUAGAUAUACUAAAACUGGAAUGAUACAGAAAAUAUGAGUAUGGAUCUUGUCCAUGGUCUACAUGUGAAUUUAUGAAGUUUCUCAUGUUUUC
ensembl:snRNA U6 U6 spliceosomal RNA